rnacentral:rRNA from 1 species
AUUGAACGCUGGCGGCAUGCCUUACACAUGCAAGUCGAACGGCAGCACGGGUGCUUGCACCUGGUGGCGAGUGGCGAACGGGUGAGUAAUACAUCGGAACAUGUCCUGUAGUGGGGGAUAGCCCGGCGAAAGCCGGAUUAAUACCGCAUACGAUCUACGGAUGAAAGCGGGGGACCUUCGGGCCUCGCGUUAUAGGGUUGGCCGAUGGCUGAUUAGCUAGUUGGUGGGGUAAAGGCCUACCAAGGCGACGAUCAGUAGCUGGUCUGAGAGGACGACCAGCCACACUGGGACUGAGACACGGCCCAGACUCCUACGGGAGGCAGCAGUGGGGAAUUUUGGACAAAGGGCGAAAGCCUGAUCCAGCAAUGCCGCGUGUGUGAAGAAGGCCUUCGGGUUGUAAAGCACUUUUGUCCGGAAAGAAAUCCUUGGCCCUAAUACGGUCGGGGGAUGACGGUACCGGAAGAAUAAGCACCGGCUAACUACGUG